rfam:Picea glauca, whole genome shotgun sequence.
ACAUGCCUACAACAUAGCAUUAAUGCAUUGGAUCCCAUUAUAACUCCACAGUUAAGCAUGCUCAGGCUAGAAUAGUACUGGGUUGGGUGACCACCUGGGAAUUCCUAGUGUUUUACAUGCC